UUAAACACCGGUUCCCGUACGAUCACCGAAGUUAAGCAACGUCAAGCUUGGUCAGUACCUAGGUGAAUGACCGCUUGUAAGCC